GUGCUCGCUUCGGCAGCACAUAUACUAAAAUUGGAACGGAUACAGAGAAGAUUAGCAUGGCCCUUGCGCAAGGAUGACACACAAAUUUGUGAAGCAUUCCAUAUUUUU
ensembl:snRNA U6 U6 spliceosomal RNA